UGGUUCUGGCAUNGAUGAAGAACGCAGCGAAAUGCGAUAAGUAAUGCGAAUUGCAGAAUUCCGUGAGUCAUCGAAUUUUUGAACGCACAUUGCGCCCCUUGGUAUUCCGGAGGGCAUGUCUGUUCGAGCGUCAUUACACCGAUCAAGCCCGGCUUGCGGUUGGGUUUCCCGUCCGCGGGUUACCCGAAAAAUAGCAGCGGCGCCUGGGAGUCCGUGAUGCAGCGAGCUUCGUGCACGCAUCAUGUCGCUUCGGGGCCCGCCCACAACCUCUUAUGUUGACCUCGAAUCAGAUAGGAUUACCCGCUGA
rnacentral:misc_RNA from 1 species